rnacentral:rRNA from 1 species
CCUACGUGAGGCAGCAGUGGGGGAUAUUGCACAAUGGGCGAAAGCCUGAUGCAGCGACGCCGCGUGAGGGAAGACGGUCUUCGGAUUGUAAACCUCUGUCUGUGGGGAAGAAAUCACACGGUACCCAAACCGGAAGCUCCGGCUAACUACGUACCAGCAGCCGCGGUCAUACGUAGGGGGCGAGCGUUGUCCGUACUUACUGGGGGAAAAGGGAGCGUAGGCGGGCUUGUAAGUUGAAUGUCUAAUCCACCGGCUCAACCGGUGAUCGCGUUCAAAACUGCAGGUCUUGAGUGAAGUAGAGGCAGGCGGAAUGCCUAGUGUAGCGGUGAAAUGCGUAGAUAUGAGGAGGAACACCAGUGGCGAAGGCGGCCUGCUGGGCUAUAACUGACGCUGAGGCUCGAAAGCGUAGGGAGCAAACAGGAUUAGAUACCCCAGUAGUC